AACGUAGGAGACACACGUUAUCCGGAGUUACUGGGCGUAAAGGGCGUGUAGGCGGUCUGUUAAGUCUGGCGUGAAAGCUCUCGGCUAAACCGGGAGAGGUCGUUGGAUACUGGCAGACUAGAGGACGGUAGAGGCGUGUGGAAUUCCGGGUGUAGUGGUGAAAUGCGUAGAGAUCCGGAGGAACACCAGUGGCGAAGGCGACACGCUGGGCCGUACCUGACGCUAAAGCGCGACAGCAUGGGGAGCAAACGGG
rnacentral:rRNA from 1 species